rnacentral:rRNA from 1 species
GACCGGAGCGGACGUACCUCUGGCGCACCAGUUGUUCUGCCAAGAGCAUAGCUGGGCAACUAUGUACGGAUCGGAUAAACGCUGAAAGCAUCUAAGCGUGAAGCCGACCCAAAGAUAAGAUAUCCCAUUGUUUCAAACAAGUAAGACCCCUUGAAGACUACAAGGUUGAUAGGCACGAUGUGUAAGUGGAGUGAUCCAUUCAGCAAGCGUGUACUAAUAGGUCGAGGGCUUGACCAC